AUACUUACCUGGCAGGGGAGUUACCAUGAUCGCAAAGGUGCUUUUCCCAGGGUGAGGCUUAUCCAUUGCACUCUGGAUCUGCCGAACCCCGCGAUUUCCCCAAACGUGGGAAACUCGACCGCAUAAUUUGUGGUAGUGGGGGACUGUUUCGCGUUCUCCCCUA
ensembl:snRNA U1 U1 spliceosomal RNA